CCUACGGGGGGCAGCAGUGAGGAAUAUUGGUCAAUGGACGAGAGUCUGAACCAGCCAAGUAGCGUGAAGGAUGACUGCCCUAUGGGUUGUAAACUUCUUUUAUAUGGGAAUAAAAUGUUCCACGUGUGGGAUUUUGUAUGUACCAUAUGAAUAAGGAUCGGCUAACUCCGUGCCAGCAGCCGCGGUAAUACGGAGGAUCCGAGCGUUAUCCGGAUUUAUUGGGUUUAAAGGGAGCGUAGGUGGAUUGUUAAGUCAGUUGUGAAAGUCUGCGGCUCAACCGUAAAAUUGCAGUUGAAACUGGCAGUCUUGAGUACAGUAGAGGUGGGCGGAAUUCGUGGUGUAGCGGUGAAAUGCUUAGAUAUCACGAAGAACUCCGAUUGCGAAGGCAGUUCACUGGACUGCAACUGACACUGAGGCUCGAAAGUGUGGGUAUCAAACAGGAUUAGAUACCCCUGUAGUC
rnacentral:rRNA from 1 species